AGCGGUUUAGAAGCAGGAGCAAUCCGGCUUUUAGACAGCGGCGGACGGGUGAGUAACGCGUGGGCAACCUGCCUUUCACAGGGGGAUAACACAGGGAAACUUGUGCUAAUACCGCAUAACACAAAGAGAAAGCAUUUUCUUUUUGCCAAAGGAGCAAUCCGGUGAAAGAUGGACCCGCGUCCAAUUAGCUAGUUGGUGGUGUAACGGACCACCAAGGCGACGAUUGGUAGCCGAACUGAGAGGUUGAUCGGCCACAUUGGGACUGAGACACGGCCCAGACUCCUACGGGAGGCAGCAGUGGGGAAUAUUGCACAAUGGGGGAAACCCUGAUGCAGCAACGCCGCGUGAAGGAUGAAGGUUUUCGGAUUGUAAACUUCUUUAGUCAGGGACGAAAAAAAUGACGGUACCUGAAGAAUAAGCCACGGCUAACUACGUGCCAGCAGCCGCGGUAAUACGUAGGUGGCGAGCCUUGUCCGGAAUUACUGGGUGUAAAGGGCGUGUAGGCGGGAAUGUAAGUCAGAUGUGAAAUCCCGGGGCUUAACCCCGGAGCUGCAUCUGAAACUAUGUUUCUUGAGUGCCGGAGAGGAAAGCGGAAUUCCUAGUGUAGCGGUGAAAUGCGUAGAUAUUAGGAGGAACACCAGUGGCGAAGGCGGCUUUCUGGACGGUAACUGACGCUGAGGCGCGAAAGCGUGGGGAGCGAACAGGAUUAGAUACCCUGGUAGUCCACGCUGUAAACGAUGGAUACUAGGUGUAGGAGGUAUCGACCCCUUCUGUGCCGGAGUUAACACAAUAAGUAUCCCACCUGGGGAGUACGGUCGCAAGGUUGAAACUCAAAGGAAUUGACGGGGGCCCGCACAAGCAGUGGAGUAUGUGGUUUAAUUCGAAGCAACGCGAGAACCUUACCAAGGCUUGACAUACAGUGGAUAUGUCAGAGAUGACAUAGCCCUUUGGGCUGCUGUACAGUGUGCAUGUGUCGUCAGCUCGUGUCGUGAGAUGUGGGUAGUCCCGCACGAGCGCACCUGUGCUAGUGAUACAU
rnacentral:rRNA from 1 species